GAUCAUGGCUCAGAACGAACGCUGGCGGCGCGUCUUAAACAUGCAAGUCGAACGAUCUGUAGCAAUACAGGGAGUGGCGGACGGGUGAGGAACACGUAGGAAUCUACCUUGAAGAGCGGGACAACUUUGGGAAACCGGGGCUAAUACCGCAUAGUACAGAGAUGUUAAAGGGCUAGCAAUAGUCGCUUCGAGAUGAGCCUGCGGUCUAUCAGCUUGUUGGUGAGGUAAUGGCUCACCAAGGCUACGACGGAUAGCCGGUCUGAGAGGAUGAUCGGCCACACUGGCACUGAGACACGGGCCAGACUCCUACGGGAGGCAGCAGUUAAGAAUCUUGCGCAAUGGGGGAAACCCUGACGCAGCGACGCCGCGUGAAGGAUGAAGGCUUCGGGUUGUAAACUUCGGUAGACUGGGAAGAAGAAAUACGUUCGUUGAGGGCGUAUAGUGACGGUACCAGUCUGAAGCCCCGGCUAAUUACGUG
rnacentral:rRNA from 1 species